GUCUAUGGCCAUACAACCCUGAACAAGCCCGAUCCUGUCUAAUCUCGGAAGCUAAGCAGGGUCAGAUCUGUUUAGUACUUUGAUGGGAGACCACCUAGGAAGACCAGAUGCUAUAGGUG
rnacentral:rRNA from 1 species